UCUGGUUGAUCCUGCCAGUAGUCAUAUGCUUGUCUCAAAGAUUAAGCCAUGCAUGUCUAAGUCCAAGCUGUGUUUACACGGCGAGACCGCGGACGGCUCAUUAAAUCAGUCGUUGUCCAAAUGGGCUAGUACCUUUGUACUUGGAUAACUGUGGUAAUUCCAGAGCUAAUACAUGCAACUAUGCUCCGAUGUGUUUGUGCUUGCACAUUCACUGACGGGUGCUUUUAUUAGACCAAUCUGCUGGGGGAGACUUCUCGUCUCCCUGACUGCAUCGUGGUGACUCUGGAUAACCCUUGUCUUGACAAGCGCACGUACCUUUUACAGGACGGCGCUGCCACUUUCGAGUGUCUGCCUUAUCAGCUGUCAACCGCUCGUUAUACGCGACCGAUGGCUUUGACGGGUAACGGGGAAUCAGGGUUCGAUUCCGGAGAGGCAGCCUGAGAGACGGCUACCACGUCCAAGGACGGCAGCAGGCACGCAAAUUACCCAAUCCCAGCACACAUUUGGGGAGGUAGUGACGAGACAUAACGAAGCGUGCGCCCUUUAUGGGUCUCGCUAUCGGAAUGAGCACUCUCUUUAAAAACUCUGUUGAGAACCUACUGAAGGGCAAGUCUGGUGCCAGCAGCCGCGGUAAUUCCAGCUUCAGUAGCAUAUAUUAAAGUUGCUGCGGUUAAAAGGCUCGUAGUUGAAUGUCUGUCGCGAGAUGCGUUUGGUGGACGCUGGUAGAGGGUGGACGCUGGUAGAGGCUAGUGUAAGCCUGGGGCUCACGCUUCAGCGCAAGUGCUUGUCCUCUCCCGUCCGUUUGAAUCCUUCGCACUCGUGUACAAGAGGCUUGUCAUCGCUGGGAAGCGCGCAUUUAUGCGUGUCUUCCCUUGUUGAUAUGCCAGUGUCACUUUGAGUAAAUCAGAGUGCUCAAAGCAAUCGUAAAGGGUUUGCCUCACGGCUUCCCCAAAGGAUAAGGUACAGGUAGUCGUGCUCGGCCUUCGGGUUGUGGCGCGCUCCUGUGUCUAAAGGUUUGGCUUGGUUAUGCAAAGUAUGUCGGAAUACGACGUCGGGCGCUGGCUACCAGUCGUAACAAGGUAGUAUAAGCCAGCUCCGACGUACUGAUUAAAAGGACUUGUCGAGGGCAUUGGUAUUGCGGAGCGAGAGGUGAAAUUCUAUGACCUCCGCAAGACCUCCUGAAGCGAAAGCGUCUGCCAAGGAUGUUUUCAUUAAUCAUGAACGAAAGUUAGAGGAUCGAAGGCGAUCAGAUACCGCCCUAGUUCUAACCCUAAACGAUGCCAACUAUCAAUCCGCGGAGCACCCUUUUUGACGGGCUUCAGCGGGCGGCUCUUACCUUACGGGAAACCAGAGUCUCUGGGUUCCGGGGGGAGUCUGGUUGCAAAGCUGAAACUUAAAGGAAUUGACGGAAAGGCACCACCAGGCGUGGAGCCUGCGGCUUAAUUUGACUCAACACGGGCAAUCUCACCAGGCCAGGGCACUUGCAUGAUUGACAGAUUAAGAGCUCUUUCUCGAUUCAGUGGAUGGUGGUGCAUGGCCGUUCUUAGUUGGUGGAGUGAUCUGUCUGGUUAAUUCCGAUAACGAACGAGACUCUCCCCUGCUAAAUAGUCGGUUGGAUACUUGUUAUAGAGGUUAGUAGUGCGCGGGCUACUUGCGCGCUGAUUCUCUCUUCAUUUCGCGGUUGCUCUCGGGCAUCUUGCGUGUGGGGUUGAGGUUAGCUGCACUCGUGUGUCCUGCGUCUGCCCUCCUAGUCCGCCGGCCAAGUUUUUGGUCUUAAAGAGUUCUUCUUAGAGGUAUAAACGGUUCUGAAGCCGUCAGAGAAUGAGAGCAAUAACAGGUCUGUGAUGCCCUUAGAUGCUCUGGGCCGCACGCGCGCUACAAUGCUGGACACAGCAGGUGUUUCUUCCUACUCCGAGAGGAGUGGGUAACCCUCUGAAAGUCCUUUUGUUUUCCCUUUAUCUGGCAUUGGUGUAUGCUUAAUUGCUUCUCCAGUGUUUCAGUGUAGUGAGCGUGCUUGGGCCUGGGGUUUGCAAGUGUCCCCCACAAACGAGGAAUGCCUAGUAGCGGUAGGUCACUGAGCCUACCGUGACUGAGUCCCUGCCCUUUGUACACACCGCCCGUCGCUACUACCGAUUGGGUGUACCAGUGAGAGCCUUGGACUGGCUGAGCCGGGCAUAGCCCUUGGUAUCUUGACAGGAAGAGGUUCGAACUGGUGCACUUAGAGGAAGUAAAAGUCGUAACAAGGUUUCCGUAGGUGAACCUGCGGAAGGAUCAUUAA
rnacentral:rRNA from 1 species